GGUGGCUAAGUGAUAGAGUAUUUGCCUUGCAUGCAUAAGGCCCUGGGUUCGAUUCCUCAGCACCA
rnacentral:tRNA from 1 species